rnacentral:rRNA from 1 species
UGGGGAAUCUUGCACAAUGGAGGAAACUGUGAUGCAGCGAUGCCGCGUGAGUGAAGAAGGCCUUUGGGUUGUAAAGCUCUUUCGUCGGGGAAGAAAAUGACUGUACCGGAAUAAGAAGGUCCGGCUAACUUCGUGCCAGCAGCCGCGGUAAUACGAAGGGACCUAGCGUAGUUCGGAAUUACUGGGCUUAAAGAGUUCGUAGGUGGUUGAAAAAGUUGGUGGUGAAAUCCCAGAGCUUAACUCUGGAACUGCCAUCAAAACUUUUCAGCUAGAGUAUGAUAGAGGAAAGCAGAAUUUCUAGUGUAGAGGUGAAAUUCGUAGAUAUUAGAAAGAAUACCAAUUGCGAAGGCAGCUUUCUGGAUCAUUACUGACACUGAGGAACGAAAGCAUGGGUAGCGAAGAGGAUUAGAUACCCUCGUAGUCCAUGCCGUAAACGAUGUGUGUUAGACGUUGGA